GACGAACGCUGGCGGCGUGCUUAACACAUGCAAGUCGAACGGAACGGCCCUGCUUUUGUGCGGUGCUCGAGUGGCGAACGGGUGAGUAACACGUAAGUAACCUGCCAUUGCCUUUGGGAUAACUUCAGACAGCUGGGGCUAAUACCGGAUAGGAGCUCCUGCUGCAUGGUGGGGGUGGGUAAGUUUCGGCGGUUGGUAAUGGACUAGCGGCUUAUCAGCUUGUUGGUGGGGUAGUGGCUUACCAAGGCUUUGACGGGUAGCAGGCCUGGGCGGGUGACCGGACCAACUAGGAUGGGGAUACGGCCCGGACCACUACGGGACGCAGCAGAGCGGAAGAGUACACUAGGGAAGGGAGGAUGACGUAGCACAGCCGCGCGGGGGAUGAGGGGCUUCGGGUAGGAAUGCGCUGCCGCCUGUGACGAAGCGUGAGUGACGGUAAUGGGUGAAGAAGCACCGGCUAACUACGUG
rnacentral:rRNA from 1 species